UACGGAGGGUGCGAGCGUUAAUCGGAAUUACUGGGCGUAAAGCGCACGUAGGUGGUUCGUUAAGUCGGAUGUGAAAUCCCUGGGCUCAACCUGGGAGCUGCAUUCGAUACUGGCGGACUCGAGUACGAGAGAGGGGGGUGGAAUUCCAGGUGUAGCGGUGAAAUGCGUAGAUAUCUGGAGGAACACCUAUGGCGAAAGCAGGUACCUGGGCCUCUAUUGACGCUAAGACUCGAAAGCUAGGGGAGCAAACAGGAUUAGAAACCCGAGUAGU
rnacentral:rRNA from 1 species